rnacentral:rRNA from 1 species
UACGUAGGGUGCGAGCGUUAAUCGGAAUUACUGGGCGUAAAGCGUGCGCAGGCGGUUCGUUGUGUCGGCGGUGAAAGCCCCGGGCUUAACCUGGGAAUGGCCGUUGAAACUGGCGAACUGGAGUGCGGCAGAGGGGGGUGGAAUUCCGCGUGUAGCAGUGAAAUGCGUAGAUAUGCGGAGGAACACCGAUGGCGAAGGCAAUCCCCUGGGCCUGCACUGACGCUCAUGCACGAAAGCGUGGGGAGCAAACAGG